CCCAGGCGGGGAGGCCUGGCGGGGGACACAGUGACACGGUGACCCAGGCCCAGCCUCCUCUCCCAUAGGCCAGCGAUGCAGGAACCGGGCACCCAGGCGAGGGCACGGUCUCCCCACCCGGCCGGGCCGACACCUGUCCGGCCGCCGACCCUCCACAGGCUGGACCCUCUGCCCGCAUGAGAGGAACUGGCCUCGGCCUCUGAAGACCGGAGUAUUAGCAGCCAACUCCAGGCACGGACCGGCCUCGCCCCCUUGACGCACAGCAGAGCAGACAGAGCUCGCCAUGUGCACCGGCCGCGUGAUCGUCACCCAAGCGGAACGGGAAGAGGCUCCUCACAAAGCUCCCGCCGGGCUUCCACGUAGACCACUCAGCCCACCUGGCUCAGGCCGCGGAGGACCCGCUGUGCCGUGCUCCCUUCCCACUCCUCCCGGCUUCCUCUGGGAGACAGACAUACAAUGUUAAUCCAGGAAAACAUUAAGAACCUAGCAAUUCAAUUCAGUUUAAUACCAAUCGAUCCAAUCAAGUUUGCAGCAGGGUCACAAGCUGGAAGUGAGACACUUUAUGUGAGCCGCCGGGAAGGGCAGCCUCUGUGCACGAGCACAGCCUCGUGCGGAGCGUCCUUCCCGGCCCGGCCCGCGAGUGCUCCUUUGCUCUUUGUAACUAUGGGUGUCCUGUGGGCCCUGCUCAGCCCCUGCCGUGGCCAUCCUCCCCGGGGAGGGUCAGGGGCUCGGCGUGUAGGUGAAGCACCUGUGUGGGCAGCGGGGUCCUGUG